rnacentral:rRNA from 1 species
ACUGCUCAGUAACACGUGGACAACCUGCCCUUAGGUUGGGUAUAAACCCGGGAAACUGGGUAUAAUACCCGAUAGGUCUCGAUUGCUGGAAUGCAUCGAGAUUUAAAGCUCCGGCGCCUAAGGAUGGGUCUGCGGCCUAUCAGGUAGUAGUGGGUGUAGUGUACCUACUAGCCUACGACGGGUACGGGUUGUGAGAGCAAGAGCCCGGAGAUGGAUUCUGAGACACGAAUCCAGGCCCUACGGGGUGCAGCAGGCGCGAAAACUUUACAAUGCUGGCAACAGCGAUAAGGGAACCUCGAGUGCCAGGUUAUAAAUCUGGCUGUCGAGAUGCCUAAAAAGCAUUUCAUAGCAAGGGCCGGGCAAGACCGGUGCCAGCCGCCGCGGUAACACCGGCGGCUCGAGUGGUAACCGUUAUUAUUGGGUCUAAAGGGUCUGUAGCCGGCCGGAUAAGUCUCUUGAGAAAUCUGGCAGCUUAACUGUCAGGCUUUCAGGAGAUACUGUCUGGCUCGAGGCCGGGAGAGGUGAGAGGUACUUCAGGGGUAGGGGUGAAAUCUUGUAAUCCUUGAAGGACCACCAGUGGCGAAGGCGUCUCACCAGAACGGACCUGACGGCAAGGGACGAAAGCUAGGGGCACGAACCGGAUUAGAUACCCGGGUAGUCCUAGCCGUAAACGAUACUCGCUAGGUGUCGGCCACGGUGCGACCGUUGUCGGUGCCGUAGGGAAGCCGUGAAGCGAGCCACCUGGGAAGUACGGCCGCAAGGCUGAAACUUAAAGGAAUUGGCGGGGGAGCAC